CACAUCUAUGUUUCUUAUUACUUAAUGUAGAAAAAAAUUGUAUAAUAUCAACAACUUCAGUUUAUUACAAAACUUGAUGCUUGAACAGGCUUGAACAUAAAGUUUAAUAACGAUUGCAACAUAUUUAAGACCUCUUGUCAUUGCAAAAAAAAUUAAAAAUAUUCAAUUUUUUCAAAUGAGAACAAAAAUAUUUACUCUAAAAUAAAACUUAACACCUAAGCAAUAAAUCUAAAUUGACUGUAUUGCGUCUUUUU